rnacentral:rRNA from 7 species
GGUUGACCUCGGAUCAGGUAGGGAUACCCGCUGAACUUAAGCAUAUCAU